GAUGAACGCUGGCGGCGUGCCUAAUACAUGCAAGUCGAGCGAACGGACGAGAAGCUUGCUUCUCUGAUGUUAGCGGCGGACGGGUGAGUAACACGUGGAUAACCUACCUAUAAGACUGGGAUAACUUCGGGAAACCGGAGCUAAUACCGGAUAAUAUUUUGAACCGCAUGGUUCAAAAGUGAAAGACGGUCUUGCUGUCACUUCUAGAUGGAUCCGCGCUGCAUUAGCUAGUUGGUAAGGUAACGGCUUACCAAGGCAACGAUGCAUAGCCGACCUGAGAGGGGGAUCGGCGACACUGGAACGGAGACACGGUCCAGACUCCUACGGGAGGCAGCAGUAGGGAAUCUUCCGCAAUGGGCGAAAGCCUGACGGAGCAACGCCGCGUGAGUGAUGAAGGUCUUCGGAUCGUAAAACUCUGUUAUUAGGGAAGAACAUAUGUGUAAGUAACUGUGCACAUCUUGACGGUACCUAAUCAGAAAGCCACGGCUAACUACGUG
rnacentral:rRNA from 1 species